ACAGGAGCCCAGAGACCUCGCAGGAGGAAGCAGCAGUAUCUGUGUUCCAAAUCCUGCCCAGCCCCCAGGCAGCCAUGGUAUCUUCUCAGCUGGCUCGAGGGCACACCUCCCAAAAUGCAGAGAAGGCAGGGUGGCUAGGAAUGGCUCUAGUAGAAUUCUCCCCUUAUCUUGUCUGGAAACAAGGGGCAAAGAGCUAUCUAUUUCCUCCUGCCAGCCUCCUGCCCCCAACAGGAUUCCUCACAUCCCAGGACCAGCUGGAAAAGGUGGUGAGAGUUGGAAAGAGACUGCUCAGUGAGGACUGCCCUGCGAACCAGCUUGGAUUCAUCCCGUUCACCUCCACGUUCUGCACUCGGGGCCGAGGGAAGGGAGGCAGCCCAGGCAGCUAGAGAACUUGAUGAAACACACUCAAUCUGAAUCUCGCUUGAUCGUCAUGCUGACCCAGUGAGGCCACUCCUCGACUUUUCAGCUCCCGCACGAUUCCUGAAGCAGGAAAAGAAACAGUUCUGUGAGGCGACCAGUGACUGACACCGCAUAUACACCUGGCUUAAAGUUACCUGAGAGAGAAGAAAAAAGAUACAAGAUUACAGUGAAGUUAGUUAAGACUCAAGAUCAAAUGGAAGCUUAAGCUAAAGAAGUGAUGCAACUCCAAGAGAAGAGCUAUUCCCUCUUUUGGCUACAAGUGUUAAAUGACAAGGCACAGGACACUGCUUCCCUGUGUUUCCUACAACCCGAUCUUUCCCACCCUGAGGUCACUCAUCUUGCUGAUUUGAGACUCCCUAAUGGACCUGAGGAACAGUAACAACACUACAACUAAGCCAAAAGGAGACAGGCCAACACUUACUGACUCGCUGCCACUUGGAGACCCAGCUGUCCUCUGGACUCAUCAUCGCAAUGAUUCUAGGGAGGGAAAAGAAAUGGAGAGUCAGCCUGAGCCUCCCUGGGCCUGAGCUCAAUUCUGAGAGAGGAAUCUAGGAAAAAGCCAAGUACCGAGUCUCCACUGGAAAGCUGGCAAAACUGCCUUCUGAUGUUGGGAUGAGGCUGACUCAAAGCUAGGACUGACAAAAGUUCUUCAUUCUUAUGUCCUUGGCCGGCCAGCCACAGGUCAGUUUCCAUCCCCAAAAGAUUAUCUCACUCAGCUCACAAACAUCCUUAGCCUAACAUUCCCUAGAAAAUGAGACGGCUUUAGGACAAGGGGUCCAAUAGUUACAACUAACACAACUACAAGGGGUCUAGGGCCUAGUGCAAAGAGGAGGGUGAGUGAAAACAACGGAUCCUCCUACUAGAAAGGAGUUCAACUUGGCUAAACUUUUCCUCUUAAUGACCUAUACAUAUGGGGACCCCUCUAAUGACCUAUACAUGUGGGGUUCCCUUCUCAGAACCUCAUCAGUAAGCUGAGACUCAAAGGUUGAGAUAAUACAUGAAAAACACCUAGCACAAAGACUAGCACAGAGUAGGUGCUAAAUAAGCAUUAGCUCUCCUCAUUAUCCUAAUAGUCCUUCCCAGGUAGCUGUGAUUCCAGAGGAAUGGUAAGGCUAUUCAAGGGCUAGAAGAUGCUGCUUGAGCAAGAUGGGUAAGCAUUUUUGUCAUUCAACGCAUUCAAUCAAAUGCUUACUGACUGCCUAUUGUGUGGGUGUAAGCACUGACAUUUGUUGACUGCCUCAAUAUGCCUCCCCUCUUCUCUCAGUAACAAUCUUGGAUUCUUAUUUGAGAAGAUUCCCUUCCCAUCCAAAUCCUACAUUCUCAGCCAUGCGCUGUUAAGUGGAACCGACCCUACCUCCAGGGGUGACAAGCAGAACACUAGCCCCCAGCCCUGCAGCCUGAUGGGAGAUAGGCAUGUAUGCAGGCCAUCCUCCUGACCACAAGUAUAUUCUUCUCUGUCCUUUGCAAUCUAUCUUUUUAGCCUUAGGGUCCCUACAGCCCAACCUUAUGAUUUAACCUAAACAGAAUUCCCACUGUUCUCCAAAAACAUCCUGGUUUUUCCCAUCCUAAGCCUUUGCUCUAGUCACUCCCUUUAUUUGGAAUGUUCUCUCUCUCUCUCACCUCAACUUCCUCAAAAAUCCCAAACUUCUUGCCUUAAGAGGAAAGUACUACCUCUUCCAAUUCUGGUUGAGGUCAUCUAGCCCUCUUCCGAUCUUUAAUUUGCCCACUCUUUAAGACCUAAUAUGCACUAGAAUUAUACAAAUAAUUCCUACAACCUAACAACAAAAAAACCAAACUGAAGUCAAAAAUGAGCAAAGGCCUUGAAUAGGCAUUUCUCCAAAGAUAUACAAAUGGCUAUAAGCACCUAAGAGGCUCAACAUCACCAUUCAUUGGGGGAAAUGGGACACCAAAGUCACACCCAUCAGGAUGGCUAUUAUUAAUAAAUAAUUAAGUGUUGGUGAGGAUGGGGAGAAAUUAGAACCUUUGGGCACUGUUGGUGGGAAUGGAAAAUGGUGCAGUUGCUAAACAGUAUGACAGUUCCUCAAAAAAUUAAACACUGAACUAUCAUAUGAUCUAGCAAUUUCACUUGUGGAUAUACAGAUGAUCCCUGACUUACCUUAGUUCAACUUAUGAUUUUUCAAAUUUAUGAUUUUGCAAAAGUGACAUGCAUUCAAUAGAAAUCGUUUUCAAAUUUUAAAUUUUGUUCUUUUCCAGGCUAGCAAUUCAGUACAAUAUUCUGUCAUGAUGCUGCGCAGCAGCCAUGAGCCACAGCUUCUGGUCAGCCACAGUAACAUAAGCGUUCUGAGCACAUUUGAAGUAGGCUAACUUAUUAUAUUCAGUAGGUUGGGUGUGUUAAAUGCACUUUUGGCUUAUAUUUUCAACUUAUGAUGGGCUUAUUAGGUUGUAACUCCUCGGAAGUUGAGGUGCAUCUGUACUGAAAAUAAUGAAAAGCAGGGACUUGAACACAUAUUUGUAUACCAAUGUUCACAGCAGUAUUAUUCACAAAUAGCCAAAAGGGAGAAACAACCCAAGAUAUCAUUGAUGAAUGAAUGGGCAGCAGAACAUGCUAUACACAUACAAGGGAAUAUUAUUCAGCUCAAAAGAGGAGGGAAAUUCUGUUGCAUACUACAAUAUGAAUGAACCUUGAAGACAUUAUGUUGGUGAAAGAAGCUAAAAAAUGCUACUGAAUGAGCCCAUAGGUACCUAAGGGUGCCUAAGGUGGCCAAAUUCAUAGAGACAAAGCAUGGUGGUUGUCAGGGACAGGAGGGAGGAGAGAACGAGGAGCUAGUGUUUAAUGGGUACAGAUGAAAAAAGUUCUGGAGAUGGAUGGUGGUGACGGUUGCACAACAGUGAGUAUGCACUAAUGCCACUGAAUUGUGUAUUUAGAAAUGGCGACCGGGCACAGUGGCUCAUGCCUGUAAUCCCAGCACUUUGUGAGGCUGAGACGGGAGGAUCACCUGAGGUCAGGAGUUCGAGACCAGCCUGGCCAGCAUGGCAAAACCCUGUCUCUACUAAAAAAAGUACAAAAAUUAGCUGGGCGUGGUGGUGGGCGCCUGUAAUCCCAGCUACUCAGGAGGCUGAGGUAGGAGGCGGAGGUUGCAGUGAGCUGAGAUCGUGCCAUUGCAGCCGGGCGCUGUGGCUCACUCCUGUAAUCCCAGCACUUUGGGAGGCCGAGGCGGGUGGAUCACGAGGUCAGCAGUUCAAGACCAGUCUGACCAACAUGGUGAAACCCCGUCUCUACUAAAAAUACAAAAAUUAGCUGGGUAUGGUGGCAGGUGCCUGUAAUCCCAGCUACUCAGGAGGCUGAGGCAGAGAACUGCUUGAACCUGGGAGGCGGAGGUUGCAGUGAGCCGAGAUUGCGCCACUGCACUCCAGCCUGGGCGACAGAGCGAGACUCCAUCUCAAAUAAAUAAAUAAAUAAAUAAAUAAGUAAAAUGGCUAAAAUGGGCCGGGCAUGGUGACUCAUACUUGUAAUCCCAGCACUAUGAGAGGCCGAGGUGGGCAGAUCACCUGAGGUCAGGAGUUUGAGACCAGCCUGGCCAACAUGGUGAAACCCCGUCUCUACUAAAGAUAUAAAAAUUAGCUGGGAGUGGUGGUGGGUGCCUGUAAUCCCAGCUACUCAAGAGGCUGAGGCAGGAGAAUUGCUUGAACCCAGGAGGCAGAGGUUGCAGUGAGCCGAGACUGCACCAUUGCACUCCAGCAUGAGUGGCAAGGGCGAAAAGUCUGUCCAAAAAAAAAAAAAAAAAAAAAGCAACAGCUUUUGGGCAAUGAUCUACCAUUACUACACCUCCCUUCCCUUCAUUUUCAAAAAAAAUUUUCAUGCAUUUAACAAACAUUAUUAAGAUUACAUUCUUUCUUCUCAUGUUAAGUCUUUGAAAUCUGGGGUAUAUUUUAUACUUAAAAGCAUGUCUUAAUUUGGACUAGACACAUUUCAAGUGCUCAGUAGCUACACGUGGAUAGUGGUCACUGUAUUAGAUGCAUAGCACUAGUAUGUCCCAAAAUAACUGUUGAGGCUGGACACAGUGGCUUACACCUAUAAUCCCAGCACUCUGGGAGGUUGAAGUCAGAGGAUCAUUCCACGCUGCAGUGAGCUAUGAUCAUGCCACUGCACUCCAGCCUGAGCCACAGAGCAAAACCCUGAUUCAAAAAAAAAAAAAAAAAAAAAAACCCACACAAAAUAACCCCCAAAAACGAAUGGCUGGGCCCAACUAGGAUUAACACUUGCCCUGCAUUUACUUCUCUGGGUGCAGGUUGGGUAAUGCAGAAGUGAAUGAUGGAAACUGAAGCGGCUUACCCAUCAAAGGAAGAGCUAGUGCAGUCAUAUACCAUCUCUCGGUUACCCUUCAUUUGUAGAUAUGCAUCACAAUUGUCACAACCAUCAUAUUCAAACUGGUCUAUAGUCUGGGAGUGAAAGAAAAAUAAAGGAAAAGGAGAGAUAAGCAUGAACAAGACCAAGAGAAAAAGUAGCUUUCUCAAUACUUCGACCUGCUCAAUUUCUUGUUUCCCUAUGUUGACUGUGUAUCCUAAGGUUCCCCACCUACUACUCUCAAAGCUUCAUUCCUAAGUCCCACCCUCCCACUCCUUCCUCUCUCGUUCCCAAUUCCGUUUUAUCUAUUCCUUUCUCUAGUCUACUCAGGGUCAGGCAUCCUUUCCGACUACUCACUCAGCAGCGGAUCCCCACCCGCCUCUGACUCCCAGUGUCUUUCGGCUCCAACGUAAGUUCACCGAACGUCUAAGAGCUGAGGAUUCAAAGGCAUGUAAGACCGCCCCUGCCCUCAGCUGCAAGACCUGUCCGCGAUCCUACGAGGUAAACGAUGGCCUCCUUCGGCUUCUCACUCCCCCUGCCACCUCUGAGUUCUGAGACUUAACUUUUCUCUUUACUGUCCCACAGCCCCAUUCCGCCCUCUUUCCCCGACCUUGGUCCCCCAUGGGCCCUACAACCAGGUCCCCGACUGACACCUUGACCAGCGAACACAGCAAACAGGCCCGCAGAUGCCGCAGGUCCUUCGGCACCGUCUCCAGGGCCAUCUUCGCCGAUGGGAAGAACAACAGGGAGAUAGACGACCACAGCCUGUGCACCCGCAGGAAAAGCAUUGGGGGCAGUGAAUCCACUGUCUCCCUCUGGAUUGUCUCUGCAGAGACCGAGAAGAAAUCCAGGGACAGCCCCACCCCUCCUUCCUAACUGCGAGAGCGCUAUAGGGUUUCCACUUGCUUCCCACAGGAAUGCUGGCCUGGGAGCUACGGCGGAAAAAAAUGCGUAUUUAUCUUUUAAAACUCCGUCUGUUUGCUCGUUCCGGCUGAUAAUUUAUACUUUGCGCAGUUCUUAGCGCUUAGACACGGUUCCUUUACUAAAGACCAUUUGUAGGAGAUUAGGUGUCCUUUUUUUCCCUUUCAUUUCACCGUCUAGGAAGCGAAAUGCCUUGUUCUAUAGGCACUAAACCACCACCCCUACCAAACCUUUCUCGGGGAAGCAGAAGGGGAACUUGUGCCUUGUGAGGAAGCGACAAAGGCCCCUUCUGGCCCUGGAGACUUCACGCCAAUGGAGCACCAGCUCUCUGUCCUCGCAAUAGCCCGAGUGCAGGCAGAACGCAGUCAUUUGUGUUUAUCUGAGAGGAGCUUUGGGAUAUAAAUAGUUUCAGGCCCCGCUGCGCUGUCAUUCCAGCCCAGCCUCCUGAUUGAGCUGCUUCCGGGCGGGCUUUCUUCUUGUUGGCGGUCCCAUGCUGUGUUCAGAUGGGCUCUGUGACAGGUUUGGAUGUUUUCUAUCACUGAAUAAAACUUUCCACUUUGGAACAUAUUUUCUACACUCUAUUAUCUCAUGUAAGUCCUGCAACAACUAUUAAGUAGGCCCAUUUUAUGGACUGAAAAAGCGAGGCACAGAGUAUUUGCCCAAGGUCUGAGUCACUGAAGUAUGAUAAUGUGUGAAGUGAACAGUAUAAUAAUAAUGACUGAAGCACAGUAAGAAUCCAGUCAUGCUUUCUCCUUCCCUGAUCUCACUAAGCCACACUUUUAGGGGCUUACAAACCAGUUCUUAUUGCCAAGCCCUCUACUCUACCCUAUCCUUUCAUGAAUCGGAGCCUAGCCUCUGAUAACAUAAAUAAUUUACUUCUCUUGAUGUAGAAAGAGAUGACGUUGUUACCCUGAGUGACAGUCACGACAGAACAAAACCACAAGACCAGACCACAUUUGUGGAUAAAUAUAUUAGCAAAUAAAUAUAUUUCUUAACAU
rnacentral:lncRNA from 1 species